rnacentral:rRNA from 1 species
UACGGGGGGGGCAAGCGUUGUUCGGAAUUACUGGGCGUAAAGGGCUCGUAGGCGGCCAACUAAGUCGGACGUGAAAUCCCUCGGCUUAACCGGGGAACUGCUUCCGAUACUGGAUGGCUUGAGUGUGGGAGAGGGAUGCGGAAUUCCAGGUGUAGCGGUGAAAUGCGUAGAUAUCUGGAGGAACACCGGUGGCGAAGGCGGCAUCCUGGACCAUUACUGACGCUGAGUGAGCGAAAGCCAGGGGAGCAAACGGG